rnacentral:rRNA from 1 species
CCGCCAGAGAACUACAAGUGAAAAACUUGAAACUCAAAGGACUUGGCGGUGUCCCAUAUCGACCUAGAGGAGCCUGUCCUAUAAUCGAUAACCCUCGCUCCACCCAACCUCCACUAGCACAUCAGCCUAUAUACCGCCGUCGACAGUCUACCCCAUGAGGGUCUAAUAGUAAACAAAAAAGCUUGCUCGCUAAUACGUCAGGUCAAGGUGUAGCUAAUGUUGAGGAAGAGAUUGGCUACAUUUUUUAUUAUAAAAAUACGGAAUGUAAUAUGAAACCCUACAUGAAGGUGAAUUUAGUAGUAAAAU